rnacentral:rRNA from 1 species
UACGUAGGGUGCAAGCGUUGUCCGGAAUUAUUGGGCGUAAAAAGCUCGUAGGCGGUCUGUCGCGUCUGCUGUGAAAACUCAGGGCUUAACCCUGAGCUUGCAGUGGGUACGGGCAGACUAGAGUGCGGUAGGGGAGACUGGAAUUCCUGGUGUAGCGGUGAAAUGCGCAGAUAUCAGGAGGAACACCGGUGGCGAAGGCGGGUCUCUGGGCCGUAACUGACGCUGAGGAGUGAAAGCAUGGGGAGCGAACAGG